UACACCUUUAACUUCACUAAAAACCCUAGCUUCCAAACCUUGUUGCCUCCAUUUUUCUUCCAAUCGCAAAAUCCCAAUUUUGCUUCGAAUUUGUGUGUUUGAAUUAAUAGCUGUUUGGUAACUAUGUCGGACGACGAGAGAGAAGAGAAGGAAUUGGAUCUCACAAGUCCUGAGGUCGUCACCAAGUACAAGAGCGCCGCUGAAAUUGUUAACAAGGCUCUGCAGUUGGUGUUGUCCGAAUGCAAGCCAAAAGCAAAGAUAGUUGAUCUUUGUGAGAAAGGGGAUGCCUUUAUCAAAGAGCAAACUGGAAAUAUGUACAAGAAUGUGAAGAAGAAGAUUGAGAGAGGUGUUGCAUUUCCAACAUGUAUUUCAGUUAAUAACACCGUGUGCCAUUUCUCUCCAUUGGCUAGUGAUGAGACAGUAGUGGAAGAAGGUGAUAUAUUGAAGAUUGACAUGGGAUGUCACAUUGAUGGAUUUAUUGCAGUAGUUGGACAUACACAUGUUCUUCACAAUGGACCAGUUACUGGUAGAGCUGCUGAUGUCAUUGCAGCUGCUAAUACAGCUGCUGAAGUUGCUUUGAGACUUGUGAGACCAGGAAAGAAGAACUCGGAUGUAACAGAAGCUAUUCAGAAAGUUGCUGCAGCAUAUGACUGCAAGAUCGUUGAGGGUGUUUUGAGCCAUCAAAUGAAACAAUUUGUGAUUGACGGAAACAAAGUCGUGUUAAGUGUGUCUAAUCCUGAUACCAGAGUAGAUGAUGCAGAGUUUGAGGAAAACGAGGUCUAUUCAGUUGACAUUGUUACGAGCACCGGCGAAGGAAAGCCAAAGUUGUUGGAUGAGAAACAAACAACGAUCUACAAGAGAGCUGUGGACAAGAGCUAUAACCUGAAGAUGAAAGCCUCAAGGUUCAUCUUCAGUGAAAUCAGUCAGAAGUUCCCUAUCAUGCCAUUUACCGCAAGGGAUUUGGAGGAGAAGAGAGCUCGUUUGGGCCUUGUUGAAUGUGUUAACCAUGAGCUUUUGCAGCCAUAUCCUGUUCUACAUGAGAAACCUGGUGAUUUGGUUGCUCACAUUAAGUUCACAGUGCUGUUAAUGCCUAAUGGAUCGGAUAGGGUAACAUCUCAUUCGCUCCAGGAGCUUCAGCCUACAAAAUCAACAGAGAAUGAACCUGAAAUCAAGGCUUGGCUAGCCCUUCCCACCAAGACUAAGAAGAAAGGUGGUGGGAAGAAAAAGAAAGGAAAGAAAGGUGACAAAGUAGAAGAGGCAUCUCAAGCUGAGCCUAUGGAAGGAUAGUGAAGUGGCUCUAAAACUUUCAUACUUGCAAUUUUGAGGUGCUUUGAUCGAUUAACUUUACUGAAACUAUUGGUUUAGUGUGGGUCGAUUCGGCACGUUGAGCUGCUUAUGUUCAUCUUUGUGGGGUUAUGAAAGACAAUUAUUGUACCCUUUCAUGUGACGUUGUUCUCGUUAGGUUUUUCAAUGCUAUUCAAAAUUCUCUUUUAUCAUUUUAAUUUUGAACCUUCAAUAAGUCCGUAUUGUGCUUUUCUGUAUUUGAAGUUAGAAAGAUGACAUUUUUGUUUCUGAUAUUGACUGGCU
rnacentral:misc_RNA from 1 species